AUAGAUACCCAGGUAGUCCAUGCCGUAAACGUUGGGAACUAGAUGUGGGGACCAUUCCACGGUCUCCGUGUCGCAGCUAACGCAUUAAGUUCCCCGCCUGGGGAGUACGGCCGCAAGGCUAAAACCCAAAGGAAUUGACGGGGGCCCGCACAAGCGGCGGAGCAUGCGGAUUAAUUCGAUGCAACGCGAAGAACCUUACCAAGGCUUGACAUAUACGAGAACGCUGCAGAAAUGUAGAACUCUUUGGACACUCGUAUACAGGUGGUGCAUGGUUGUCGUCAGCUCGUGUCGUGAGAUGUUGGGUUAAGUCCCGCAACGAGCGCAACCCUCGUCGUAUGUUGCCAGCACGUAAUGGUGGGAACUCAUAUGAGACUGCCGGGGUCAACUCGGAGGAAGGUGGGGAUGAGGUCAAAUCAUCAUGCCCCUUAUGUCUUGGGCUUCACGCAUGCUACAAUGGCCGGUACAAAGGGCUGCAAUACCGCAAGGUGGAGCGAAAUACCCAAAAAAGCCGGUCUCAGUUCGGAUUG
rnacentral:rRNA from 1 species